rnacentral:rRNA from 1 species
UACGUAGGGGGCUAGCGUUGUCCGGAAUCAUUGGGCGUAAAGAGCGCGUAGGCGGCCAGAUAAGUCCGGUGUGAAAGUCACAGGCUCAACCUGUGAAUGCCGCUGGAAACUGUAUGGCUAGAGUCCGGAAGGGGCGAGUGGAAUUCCUGGUGUAGCGGUGAAAUGCGCAGAUAUCAGGAGGAACACCGAUGGCGAAGGCAGGUCUCUGGGCCGAUACUGACGCUGAGGAGCGAAAGCGUGGGGAGCGAACAGG